UUCCGGGCACAACGGGCUGUCUCGAUAUCAACCACCUUGAAGCUCAUGAGACGCGAGACAGGAAGCUGACCAUAAAAGGACAUCCUACCUGAAGCUCGCACCAGGCCACCUCCACCGUGGUCUCCGUGUCGAGGCCCUUGUAGACGGUCUUGAAGGAACCCCUCCCGAUCUCGAUGUUGAACUUGAGGCUGAGGAUGUUCUCUGCUGACCACGAGAGCGCUUUGGAGAGGGCGCCGCUGAAGAGAGGCGAGUCCACAUCCACGCU